AUGGCGAGCGGGGGCAGGACGGAUCUGGACGGCGCCGCCGUGGCGCCGCUGACCAUCUGCGUGAUCGGCGCCGGCGGCUUCAUCGGCUCGCACCUCUGCGAGAAGCUCAUGGCCGAGACCCAGCACACGGUCCUCGCCGUCGACGUCUACUGCGACAAGAUCCGCCACCUCGUCGACCCGCCCCCGCCCCACCUCGCCGGACGCAUCUCCUUCCACCGCCUCAACAUCAAGAACGACUCCCGCCUCGAGGGCCUCAUCAAGAUGGCCGAUCUGACGAUAAACCUGGCGGCGAUCUGCACGCCGGCGGACUACAACACGCGCCCGCUCGACACCAUCUACAGCAACUUCAUCGACGCGCUCCCGGUGGUCAAGUACUGCUCGGAGAACAGCAAGCGCCUGAUCCACUUCUCCACGUGCGAGGUCUACGGCAAGACCAUCGGCAGCUUCCUCCCCAAGGACCACCCCCUCCGCAAGGAACCUGAAUUUUAUGUGCUGACAGAAGAUGAGUCACCCUGCAUCUUUGGUCCAAUCGUGAAACAGAGAUGGUCCUACGCGUGUGCAAAGCAGCUUAUCGAGAGGCUUGUUUUUGCUGAAGGCGCAGAAAAUGGCCUUGAAUUCACGAUUGUGAGACCUUUCAAUUGGAUUGGGCCAAGGAUGGACUUCAUUCCUGGCGUUGAUGGUCCUAGCGAGGGUGUUCCUCGGGUUUUGGCUUGCUUCAGCAACAAUCUCCUCCGUAGAGAGCCCCUGAAGCUUGUCGAUGGCGGCGAGUCCCAGAGAACUUUUGUUUACAUCAAGGAUGCCAUUGAAGCUGUUCUUCUGAUGAUUGAAAACCCUGCUCGAGCCAAUGGUCAUAUCUUCAACGUUGGGAACCCCGACAAUGAAGUCACUGUUAGGGAGUUGGCCGAAAUGAUGACAGAGGUCUACGCUAAGGUCUCAGGAGAGCCCCCGCUGGAGGAGCCUGUGGUCGACGUGAGCGCGAAAGAAUUCUACGGCGAAGGGUACGACGACAGCGACAAGAGGAUCCCUGACAUGACCCUGAUCAACAAGCAGCUAGGGUGGAACCCCAAGACCCCUCUCAAGGACCUGCUGGAGACGACGCUGACCUACCAGCACAAGACCUACAAGGAGGCUGUGAAGACGCAGAUGUGUCUGGCCACGGCGACGCCUUCAAGCUAG
rnacentral:rRNA from 1 species